rnacentral:rRNA from 1 species
UUGAAAGGGAAACGAUUGAAGUCAGUCAUACCAACGGGGAAAUCAACCCUUUUGAGCUUGGUUUCGUGGGUUUUGAAGAGUUUCAAAGCCUUCGGAUUUGCGAGAUUGGGAUCUCUCGGUGUACUUUCUCGUACGGUUAGUCAACAUCGGCUUUGAAUGUCAUAAAAUGACUGGAGGAAUGUAGCUUCGAUCUCGUAUUGAAGUAUUAUAGCCCUUGGUAGAUGUGAUGUUUGAGACCGAGGAUUGCAACGGAUACCCUUUAGGGCUAUUCGUCUGAUCUCUGAUACGUUGCCUUGAUGUUGAAAGCUUGCUUAUGAUGUUAGGGUAUUACGGUCAAAAGGUUAGAACGAAUUACAUUCGUUAAGGAUGUUGACGUA